GAUGAACGCUAGCGGCAGGCCUAAUACAUGCAAGCCGAACGGCAAGUCUUUUAGCAAUAGAAGACCUAGAGUGGCGUAAGGGUGCGUAACACGUAUGCAAUCUGCCCUCAACAGGAGGAUAGCUCCCCGAAAGGGGAAUUAAGCCUCCAUAGGAUCGUAAUGUGGCAUCACAUAGCGAUUAAACUACCAGGGGUUGAGGAUGAGCAUGCGCAUGAUUAGUUAGUUGGCGGGGUAACGGCCCACCAAGACGAUGAUCAUUAGGGGAACUGAGAGGUUGAUCCCCCACACUGGCACUGAGAUACGGGCCAGACUCCUACGGGAGGCAGCAGUAGGGAAUAUUGGACAAUGGGGGCAACCCUGAUCCAACCAUGCCGCGUGAGUGAAGAAGGCCCUCGGGUUGUAAAGCUCUUUUGUCCGGAAAGAAAGCAAUCGGUUAAUACCCGGUUGUUCUGACGGUACCGGAAGAAUAAGCACCGGCUAACUUCGUGCCAGCAGCCGCGGUAA
rnacentral:rRNA from 1 species